rnacentral:tRNA from 1 species
UCCUGGUUAGAUCGGUCGGUAGAGCGCUCCAACGCAAAUGUAGAGGUACCUGGUUUGAUACCAGGACCAGGCG